CAAACGGCUCAGGAGAUCUCACGCGGCUCAACACCGGGACAACGGAGCAUCCCAGGACUACUGAAAAUCCCAUUUCCUACUGAAAUUCCGACUGGAUUCCUACGAGCUCCUCUUCCACGUUAAAGCCAACUCCAAAAAGGCUGUGACAUAAUAGUCACUUCAACCAAGAGAAAAACCUGAGGGAAAGAUUUUCAAGGUGCUAAGUAGCAUUGCACCCUUUAAUUAGUUUGUAACUAUUGUGAAGCUGAGAAACAAAUACCAGCAGAAAAUCUGAAAAGUUGAGUUGUUCAACCACUUGCACAGAAUCUCUUUUCAGCACUUACCCUAUAGGAACUGGUGGGUACUGGAAUAUAAACAAGAUUUCAUUUUCCCCACAUUCUUGCAAGCCACGCACCAAUUUUUGUGGUGUCCUUACAAUUCCUAUGGAAGAAAAGAAAGAAUCUGUAUGA